CUUUCCUUCUACUAAUCCCGGCGAUCGGGACUGAAAC
rnacentral:other from 19 species